rnacentral:rRNA from 1 species
CUGGCGGCGUGCCUAACACAUGCAAGUCGAACGAGAAAGUGGAGCAAUCCAUGAGUAAAGUGGCGACCGGGUGAGUAACACGUGACUAACCUACCUUCGAGUGGGGAAUAACUCCGGGAAACCGGGGCUAAUACCGCAUAACAUCGCAAGAUCAAAGCAGCAAUGCGCUUGAAGAGGGGGUCGCGGCUGAUUAGCUAGUUGGCGGGGUAACGGCCCACCAAGGCGAAGAUCGGUAUCCGGCCUGAGAGGGCGCACGGACACACUGGAACUGAAACACGGUCCAGACUCCUACGGGAGGCAGCAGUGGGGAAUUUUGCGCAAUGGGGGAAACCCUGACGCAGCAACGCCGCGUGGAGGAUGAAGCCCCUUGGGGCGUAAACUCCUUUCGACCAAGACGAUAAUGACGGUACUGGUGGAAGAAGCACCGGCUAACUCUGUGCCAGCAGCCGCGGUAAUACAGAGGGUGCGAGCGUUGUUCGGAAUUAUUGGGCGUAAAGGGCGCGUAGGCGGUGCCACAAGUCACUUGUGAAAUCUCCAGGCUUAACUUGGAG